rnacentral:rRNA from 1 species
UACAGAGGGUGCGAGCGUUAAUCGGAAUUACUGGGCGUAAAGGGUGCGUAGGCGGAAAGACAAGUUGGGCGUGAAAUCCCUGGGCUUAACCUGGGAACUGCGUUCAAGACUGUUUUACUAGAGUAUGGGAGAGGCAAUUGGAAUUUCCGGUGUAGCGGUGAAAUGCGUAGAUAUCGGAAGGAACAUCAGUGGCGAAGGCGAAUUGCUGGACUAAUACUGACGCUGAGGCACGAGAGCGUGGGGAGCAAACAGG